rnacentral:rRNA from 1 species
UACGGAGGGGGCUAGCGUUGUUCGGAAUUACUGGGCGUAAAGCGCGCGUAGGCGGCUUUGUAAGUUAGAGGUGAAAGCCCGGAGCUCAACUCCGGAACUGCCUUUAAGACUGCAUCGCUAGAAUUGUGGAGAGGUGAGUGGAAUUCCGAGUGUAGAGGUGAAAUUCGUAGAUAUUCGGAAGAGCACCAGUGGCGAAGGCGACUCACUGGACACAUAUUGACGCUGAGGUGCGAAAGCGUGGGGAGCAAACAGG